GACAGCCAGGAUGUUGGCUUAGAAGCAGCCAUCAUUUAAAGAAAGCGUAAUAGCUCACUGGUCGAGUCGGCCUGCGCGGAAGAUGUAACGGGGCUAAACCAUGCACCGAAGCUGCGGCAGCGACACUGUGUGUUGUUGGGUAGGGGAGCGUUCUGUAAGCCUGUGAAGGUGUGCUGUGAGGCAUGCUGGAGGUAUCAGAAGUGCGAAUGCUGACAUAAGUAACGAUAAAGCGGGUGAAAAGCCCGCUCGCCGGAAGACCAAGGGUUCCUGUCCAACGUUAAUCGGGGCAGGGUGAGUCGACCCCUAAGGCGAGGCCGAAAGGCGUAGUCGAUGGGAAACAGGUUAAUAUUCCUGUACUUGGUGUUACUGCGAAGGGGGGACGGAGAAGGCUAUGUUGGCCGGGCGACGGUUGUCCCGGUUUAAGCGUGUAGGCUGAUUUUCCAGGCAAAUCCGGAAAACUAAGGCUGAGGCGUGAUGACGAGGCACUACGGUGCUGAAGCAACAAAUGCCCUGCUUCCAGGAAAAGCCUCUAAGCAUCAGGUAACNCAUCAAAUCGUACCCCAAACCGACACAGGUGGUCAGGUAGAGAAUACCAAGGCGCUUGAGAGAACUCGGGUGAAGGAACUAGGCAAAAUGGUGCCGUAACUUCGGGAGAAGGCACGCUGAUAUGUAGGUGAAGUCCCUCGCGGAUGGAGCUGAAAUCAGUCGAAGAUACCAGCUGGCUGCAACUGUUUAUUAAAAACACAGCACUGUGCAAACACGAAAGUGGACGUAUACGGUGUGACGCCUGCCCGGUGCCGGAAGGUUAAUUGAUGGGGUUAGCGGUAACGCGAAGCUCUUGAUCGAAGCCCCGGUAAACGGCGGCCGUAACUAUAACGGUCCUAAGGUAGCGAAAUUCCUUGUCGGGUAAGUUCCGACCUGCACGAAUGGCGUAAUGAUGGCCAGGCUGUCUCCACCCGAGACUCAGUGAAAUUGAACUCGCUGUGAAGAUGCAGUGUACCCGCGGCAAGACGGAAAGACCCCGUGAACCUUUACUAUAGCUUGACACUGAACAUUGAGCCUUGAUGUGUAGGAUAGGUGGGAGGCUUUGAAGUGUGGACGCCAGUCUGCAUGGAGCCGGCCUUGAAAUACCACCCUUUAAUGUUUGAUGUUCUAACGUUGGCCCCUGAUCGGGGUUGCGGACAGUGUCUGGUGGGUAGUUUGACUGGGGCGGUCUCCUCCUAAAGAGUAACGGAGGAGCACGAAGGUUGGCUAAUCCUGGUCGGACAUCAGGAGGUUAGUGCAAUGGCAUAAGCCAGCUUGACUGCGAGCGUGACGGCGCGAGCAGGUGCGAAAGCAGGUCAUAGUGAUCCGGUGGUUCUGAAUGGAAGGGCCAUCGCUCAACGGAUAAAAGGUACUCCGGGGAUAACAGGCUGAUACCGCCCAAGAGUUCAUAUCGACGGCGGUGUUUGGCACCUCGAUGUCGGCUCAUCACAUCCUGGGGCUGAAGUAGGUCCCAAGGGUAUGGCUGUUCGCCAUUUAAAGUGGUACGCGAGCUGGGUUUAGAACGUCGUGAGACAGUUCGGUCCCUAUCUGCCGUGGGCGCUGGAGAACUGAGGGGGGCUGCUCCUAGUACGAGAGGACCGGAGUGGACGCAUCACUGGUGUUCGGGUUGUCAUGCCAAUGGCACUGCCCGGUAGCUAAAUGCGGAAGAGAUAAGUGCUGAAAGCAUCUAAGCACGAAACUUGCCCCGAGAUGAGUUCUCCCUGACUCCUUGAGAGUCCUGAAGGAACGUUGAAGACGACGACGUUGAUAGGCCGGGUGUGUAAGCGCAGCGAUGCGUUGAGCUAACCGGUACUAAUGAACCGUGAGGCUUAACCUU
rnacentral:rRNA from 1 species